UACGUAGGGGGCAAGCGUUGUCCGGAUUUAUUGGGCGUAAAGAGCGUGUAGGCGGCCAUACAGGUCCGUUGUGAAAACUGGAGGCUUAACCUCCAGACGUCGAUGGAAACCGUAUGGCUAGAGUCCGGAAGAGGAGAGUGGAAUUCCUGGUGUAGCGGUGAAAUGCGCAGAUAUCAGGAAGAACACCAGUGGCGAAGGCGACUUACUGGACUGUAACUGACGCUGAGGCAUGAAAGCGUGGGGAGCAAACAGG
rnacentral:rRNA from 1 species